rnacentral:tRNA from 1 species
GUCUUCAUAGCUCAAUUGGCUAGAGCACCCGACUUUUAAUCGGGGGGUUCGGGGUUCAAAUCCCUGUGGGGACA